rnacentral:rRNA from 1 species
CUUUACUGUAACCUGGAAUUGGGUUCGGGCUCUGACUGCGCAGGAUAGGUGGGAGGCGUGGAAAGUGUCCUUGUGGGGACACUGGAGCCAACGGUGAGAUACCACUCUGUCAGAGCUAGAAUUCUAACCCCGACCCGUCAACCGGGGGGGAGACAGUUUCGGGCGGGCAGUUUGACUGGGGCGGUCGCCUCCUAAAAGGUAACGGAGGCGCGCAAAGGUUCCCUCGGGCCCGUUGGAAAUGGGCCGAUAGAGUGCAAAAGCAGAAGGGAGCUUGACUGUGAGACGGACAGGUCGAACAGGGACGAAAGUCGGCUUUAGUGAUCCGACGGCACCGCGUGGAAGGGCCGUCGCUCAACGGAUAAAAGUUA